CCGGUCCAGGUCCGGUCCGGUUUUGGACCGGUGUACACCCCUAACUCUAACUAUACCUUAAAAAAAAAAUUUGAACUGCUUGUUUAUUGCUUUCGUGAAACCUCCACCACUAUCCUUUUGUCGCUGACUGUUCGCCGCACCGCUCCACUGCCGCACCACCGAUCGCCGCACAACUUGUAAGCAUUGCACCACUCCUCUGAGGUUGAUGUCGAAAAAGAGAAAGCAAGCAAGUGCUAAUGAGGCCUCUAAAACUGGCGAGGCUGAAGAAUCCGUUGAGUGUGAGAAUUGAAGGGGUCGUAUAGUAGUUGUAGUAGUUCGAAAAGCAAUUCUGAGUGGCGUCAAAAUCCCCUUGGAAUGGAAUCACAAUAAAGUGCCAAUUGGGGAAAAUAGAUAUAUCUUUUCAUCAUACAUUGGUGUAGUUGUUCGUGAAAGAGUGAAUAUCAAUUAUCGAGACUGGGAGGAAGUUCCGAAAGAAGUUAUUGAUGACCUCUUUAAAUUCAUUACGAGAGGAUUUAUAGUGCUGGAAGAACGUAGAAAUUAUGUAUUAGGGAGAGCUUCAAUCCGCUAGAGAGCUUUCAAGGCCAGAUUAAGAAAGGAUUGGAUGUACGACACUAAGGGAGUAAAUCCAAAUGUGAUUAUAAAGAAGCCACCUUUGAUAUAUCCAUUUAUAACACAAGCUGAUUAGACCAAAUUCAUUGAAACAUAUACUGAUGAUGCGUUUAAGGAACUAAGUGACAAGAAUUGAGAGAGGGCGAAAAUGAAUACUUCAAGCUAUCGAGGAGGUCAAAAGGGUACUUGUAUUAUGAACAAGAGAUUGCUGCUGAACUUCAUAAACAAGGAGUGAAAGUUAGAGACGUGCCUCGACAUUUGGUUUGGAUAAGAGCUCAUUCUAGACAAAAAGAUGGUGCAAUGACCUUUGACAAUCCUGCUGAUUUUGAAAUAGCUCAAACAAUUAAGGCAUUGGAGGCUCAAAAAAAUCCAAGGAGAAAUUGAGGCCACUGGCCGGAAUGAUAUCCCAGCGAGAGCAUUACAGAAUCCUGAACAUGGUGGUUGUGUUAGGGGCGUUGGGUCGGGUGUUACAGAUAAGUUGUACUUUGGUUACAACAAACCAACACCACAAAGUCAAUUGCAAUCAUAUCUUAAGUGUCUCAAAUCAAAAUUAGAAAAUGUGGUUAACACACAAAAUUUCUUGUUGUCUUACUUAAUGUCAAGUGGUCUGGUUAACGCGGAGCAAUUAAAAGAACUUGGUGAUUCAAAUGCUAACCAAGUUGGCCACCAGUUAGCAGGUAUUCAAGCUGGUGGAUCUAGUGGCCAAGGUUUAGAUGGCCUUGGUUUGGGUCGUGACAGUUGGCUUCAAGGUCUUUGCUUCCAACUUGCCUCAGAACAAAACAAAGUUACCCAUCAGUUAGCAAGUUUCCAAAAGGGUGGUUUUGGUGGUGAACAGUUAGAUGAUCAUUUAGAUGUCUUUGGCUCUGAAGGUGACCAAGGGGUUCGAGGUUUCAACUUCCAAGAGAAGAAUGUUGAAGCAUUUGAGGUUCAACCCGAGCCAUACCAUGUUGCGUGGCCUAAGGAGGGAUAUGUGCCAGAAUGUACUCAAUAAUGAACAAGACAUUACUGGCCAACCAUUUCCAUAGGGAGUUGAUAGUCUUUGUUCCUUGGCAAUUAAGAGUGACAAAGGGGUCGAUAUAGUUGAUAUUGGAGAAGUGUAUAUUGGGAUAGAAGGAGAAGUUGUCAAGCAUCAUUUCAAGCCCGUCCCAAGUGGUCAUUGUCGAGUUUGUGUUAAAGAAGAAAUCAACCCAAAUGCACUUCUGCCAUGUCUUUAAGGGGAGAUAAGAUUCAUUUGUCAAACUUUAAAUUAUUAUUUAAUAUAGCCUUCUCACUUGGUUUUUCUAUAAAGAAGGUAAAAUUCAGUUUUAAAUUAUAAUCAUCUGUCACAUUAUAUAAUACGAUCAUCUUUUUUUUUUUUUUUUCUUGUGAUUAUAUGACAAGGCUGAUAAGCAAGUCCCUAAAGAAAUCGCUGCACCAUCUCCACACUCGCCAUCAUCACAAUCAUCAUGCACUCGAAAGUACACAAUAACUCAUGCUGAUAAGUUGAAGUUGACUUCUAAUUUGGUUCGAGUAUUUAAGGAUGUGGCUAUUGCAAUUAAAACGAGCGGUAAAACCAAAUCUUGUACAGUUUUGGCUAGAGUGUUUCAAAAUGAGCAAUGUGUUACCCUUGAUUAUGAAGACAUGCUUAACUGGUGCUUCCAAAGAGAGAUAUAAUCGUCACACAUGUCAAUUUUAAUGAUGUAUAUGAGUGAGAUUGUUCAUACAGAAGGAAUCUCAGGGUUGUAUGGAUUUUGUGAUUGCAACUAUCUAUCCCCGUAUGCUCCAACUGUGGAAAAAGACAAUGACCGAUGUGACUAUCUAGCUAGGCUAUUUUCAUGUAAUGAUGGCAAAAACAAAAAUCAGCUCUUCUUUGCCCCGUAUUAUGAGGAUGGACAUUGGAUGUUGGCUGUUAUUUGUCCAUGGGUUGGUUUGGUGCAUUUGCUAGAUCCCGCGCGAGUAAAAGAUGAACCUCCCAAAUUUGCUCAAACAAUAAUCAACAAGGCAAUGAUCAAUUUUAGCACCGAACAUCGAAAGGAUAUCACAAAAAUAAAGAAGAAACCUUACAUUAAAUGGUUAAGCAUAGAGUGUCCUCGUCAAGCUACUGCCUUUAGUGAUAGUGGAUAUUACGUUUGUCGCUACAUGAUUGAGACAAUUGAAACUAGGCAAAUGAUCAUCCCCGACAAGAUACGACAUUUAGUUUUAAUGUAUUUUGAGUAGCUGAUGCACACAUCUGACUAUACUCUCUAAAAUUUGUAGUUUUUGCACAAUUAUGCUCUCUAAAAUUACUGUUGGGCCCUACAAUGGUGGGUCUAGGGUUGUUUUGAGAUUUUAUUUGUUGGGUUUUGAUGGGAAAUUUGUGAAUGUACCUCAGGUUUUUUGUAGUCAAAAUGGGGUUAGCUUUGAUAGGAAAUUGGGUGUGAUUGUGGAUGUAAGUCAUGGGAUGAAAAUUAUGAUUUCUGGGUCGAUUAAUUAUUUGGCUUUGUACUCAGCUUCAGGGGGGAAAGUAUGGGUUUUUAGGGUGAAAUUGAUUGGGGAUGGGAGGAGUUUGAUGUUAGUGAAGUGUGCUGUGAUUGAUUGUAGGUUCCAAAUUUCGUCGAUUUGCCUUUCGUUUGGGUUUUUGAUCUUGGGGGAGAUGAGAGGAGUUCGGGUUUUUCCAUUGCGUGUAUUGGUGAAAGGGAGGGUUGGAAGUAAAAGGAGGUUAACUGUAGCGAGAGGGAAGGGUGAAAAUUCCAAUGCCGAGGAGCGGGAGGUUAGUGUGAAAGCCGAGGGGCGGAAUUCCACUGUGCCGAAUUGGGAUUUUACAGACCCCUCAGCUCCUGCAAGUACUGACCCUUUAGUAGUAGUAGUAGGUUCAGACUUUCUAUAAGGGUAUGGUUUCUUAGCAGCAGCAGCAACUGGUUGUGUUACAUCAUUAAGCACUAAUCCAAUACCGCCUUUGGACUGUGGAAGUGUGUACAAAACCUCUUCAAAACCGUCGUCUUUCCAGUACACUUUAGGCCUAUACGAGGUAAGGUGUGCAUUUGAUAGUUGCAACUUUAAUGUAUCAGUGGCAGUAUAUGAUGAGGUGAGAUAGAGGAUUCUCAUCCUCUGUUUUUUUUUUUUUGUUUUUUCAAAGGGAUUUUCUCAUAAGUGGGAGUGGGACACCCAUUUUUUGGCUUCAUUUUCGUAGCUUUAAUGUAUCAGUGGCAGUAGAUGUGCAUUUUAAAUCAAUAAAGUUAUUGAUUGUAUUAGUGGCAGUAGGUAUAUUUAGCUAAUUGCUUAUUUUUUUAACUAGAAGAGUUUGGUUAUAUUAAAUCGAACUUGUGUCUGAAUGCUAAGCUAGUUAACAUGAAUAGUAGUGCUAAGGGAAUUCAAUUAUAACUGUAAUGAUAUUGAUGGCACAUAAAGUGAUAAAAUUAUUAUUAUUAUUUGAAAUUUGUUACUUCUUUGUAUUCCGAAUCUUUUCUGUUGUUAUCAUGACUUCAUGAGAUAUUGUGUAAAUGCUUGCAAGAUCUGUUACUCUUGCUUGUUUGGUUGUGCCUUGUUGGCAACUUCGGAUGUAUACCUAUUGUAGAGAAUAUUUCAAGCGUUAUCUCUAUAUUGAACCCCGCUGUGA